AUCGGUCCUUGCUUCACUUAGAGGUCAUUCGAUUCAACCUGUGCGAUCAGCAGUGUUUGGUUACUUCUUCCCCAUUGAUAAAAUGGUGUUAAAAACGUCGAUCGCAAAAAUACAACUGAAAAUAAUUUAGAAAAACUAAGUGAGUAACCAAUUAAACAAAUAAAUGUAAUUGUUAGGUAAAUGAGUAAAUACUGUUACGGCGAGCGCGGAUUAACACGCCGUAGUGGCAACGCUGCCAGCGAGAUAGAUAGAUAGAUAGAUAGAAUGCUCGAGAAAGCUCCACGGCUUUAAAAUAGGGAAUGUUCCCCAACUAAACCAUAAUAUUCGAGUGUUGCCAAACGGCUAUGUCUGGUAAUGACUAUGUGAAGCAAGCGCGACUCACCCAAGUAGUACCUAGUAGUAGUAGUAGUGCUGUGGGCAGUGUUGUUGUUGUGGCAUACUGGCACUAGGCAGUGCAACAUCGACAAAAAAAUGCUUAAAAUCUAUUAUUGAGAUGUAAUAUGAGAUAUUUUUGCGGAAUGCAGUAUGUAAUUGUACUUCAGGAGGAGGGCGAGGACGAGAAAGAGCAAAAAUAACUUUAGUGAUACCAAAGAAGCGUUACAUGUUGUUACAUGUUGAUACAACGCAAUUCGAAUUAACGUCAUGAAAGAUGGAUACAACAUUUUGCUGAUACCAAAAGAGCAUGCAGCUGAUGUAAGUAAUAGAUAAUUGACUGAUUUGAAAAA